CAGCCGCCACGGGAAUACGUAGGGUGCGAGCGUUAAUCGGAAUUACUGGGCGUAAAGCGUGCGCAGGCGGUUUGUUAAGACAGAUGUGAAAUCCCCGGGCUCAACCUGGGAACUGCAUUUGUGACUGGCAAGCUAGAGUAUGGCAGAGGGGGGUGGAAUUCCGCGUGUAGCAGUGAAAUGCGUAGAUAUGCGGAGGAACACCGAUGGCGAAGGCAGCCCCCUGGGCCAAUACUGACGCUCAUGCACGAAAGCGUGGGGAGCAAACAGAAUUAGAUACCCCCGUAGUCCCUGUCUCUUAUAA
rnacentral:rRNA from 1 species